UGGAGCAUGUGGUUUAAUUCGAUGAUACGCGAAGAACCUUACCGGGGUUUGACAUGCAGGUGAUCGCCGUUGAAAGACGGUUUCCUCUUCGGAGGCACCUGCACAGGUGCUGCAUGGCUGUCGUCAGCUCGUGUCGUGAGAUGUUCGGUUAAGUCCGCUAACGAGCGCAACCCUCGCUGUGUGUUAUAUGUGUCAUACGAGACUGCCGGUAAAAGCCGGAGGAAGGUGAGGAUGAUGUCAAGUCAGCAUGACCCUUAUAUCCAGGGCUACACACACGCUACAAUGGUCUGUACAAUGGGUAGCCAAGCCGCGAGGCGGAGCCAAUCCUGAAAGCAGGCCUCAGUUCAGAUUGCAGUCUGCAACUCGACUGCAUGAAGCCGGAGUUGCUAGUAACCGCAGGUCAGCAAUACUGCGGUGAAUACGUUCCCGGGUCUU
rnacentral:rRNA from 1 species